GUCGACAUAUGUGUUUGUGCAGUGAGUGUGCAAAAGAGUUGAGACUUCAAGCUAAUAACUGCCCAAUAUGCCGCCAACCCAUCCAGGAACUUAUGGAGAUCAAGAUUAAUUGAGAUCAUCCUCCCACAUCAGAGAGGCAAACUUCUUUCCUUGCCAAGAACUCCACAGGAGUACUGGAAACAGAUUGUUCAAAAACUUUUGAAGCCCAGAUUCUUAUUUGGUAGGUUGAUUAUACACAGAAGGUUCAUUUUUUGUUUAUAAACAUAAGGUUGAUAUAGUUCUUUCUUGAUAUAUUUAUAAAUCUGAUAUAGAAAAUUUUCCGUUACAGAAAAGAGCAUAGUUUUU
rnacentral:misc_RNA from 1 species